rnacentral:lncRNA from 1 species
AUUUCCUGAGGCACCUUGUUCAAAUGCAGAUGAGGACUCAGCAGUUCUGGGUGGGCCCGAGAUUCUGCAUUUCUAAGAAGCUCCAGGGUGAUGCAUAUGCUGCUCAAGUAGCAACAAACCAGAGGCUUUCAUAUGGCAGCAUUUUACCUAGAGCUGACCCUGGUGUCAGAAGAAAGUUCUUCCUAGGGGAUUGCCUGAGUCUAAAAGAAGACAUCAAGCAUUAAGCUUAUACUACAAAGACCAGCCGUACAUUCCAAGUCGAAAAGGAACAGACUCUCUUAAGAGUGAUCUUCACAUCUUCUUGCCUGCUCCCUGCUGUCACUGACAGUAGAGAAGAGGAACAUUUAUCUAUGUGGAAGCAAAUGUUUCCGUAAUAAAGAAAUCUAAAGUAUAAGCACUUGGUUAAAAAUAGACUAACCGACAUUGAUUCCUUGAAAAAAAUUAUUCAGCAAUGUAUGUAACAGGGCAGAGGAAGGCACAGAAGGUCCACUGUUUAAGCAGACACCUAUCAGGGAAUGAGAUGCCCAUUUCACCUUCUAGCAAACAUCAGUCGCUGCAACCAAAUUCAAAAGGCCUUGGAGUUCCUGCUAUAUAAUUGUCAUAGGAAAUAGUGUGGUGCAAAGAAAAGCCCUCCAGGCUUGGAGUCCACACAUCCAGCAACAGGAGACAAGAACUGUCAUUGCCACCGCGUCAUCUUGGGCAAGCCACUUUAUCUCUGUGCUUUCUAGUCUAUAAUGGGAAGCCUUGACCUGGCUGCUCUUCCUGUUCAAUAAUCUGAAAUUCCAAGUAGUUGGACAUGUGGGUAUGAGAUGUCCCCCAUUUAAUAUAGUGUCUGAAAAUCAUCUGUAGAGACUACUCAUGCUACUCAAAUUUUCCAAAAUC